rnacentral:rRNA from 1 species
ACGCUCGACACCUACGGGAGACAGCAGUGGGGAAUAUUGCACAAUGGGGGAAACCCUGAUGCAGCGACGCCGCGUGAAGGAAGAAGUAUCUCGGUAUGUAAACUUCUAUCAGCAGGGAAGAAAAUGACGGUAUCUGACUAAGAAGCCCCGGCUAACUACGUGCCAGCAGCCGUGGUAAUCUGAGCGGGCUGGCAAGGC